rnacentral:rRNA from 1 species
AUUAGAGUUUGAUCCUGGCUCAGAUUGAACGCUGGUGGCGUGCCUUACACAUGCAAGUCGAACGGCAGCAUGAUCUGGCUUGCUAGAUUGAUGGCGAGUGGCGAACGGGUGAGUAAUACAUCGGAACGUGCCCUGUAGUGGGGGAUAACUAGUCGAAAGAUUAGCUAAUACCGCAUACGACCUGAGGGUGAAAGUGGGGGACCGCAAGGCCUCGUGCUAUAGGAGCGGCCGAUGUCUGAUUAGCUAGUUGGUGAGGUAAAGGCUCACCAAGGCGACGAUCAGUAGCUGGUCUGAGAGGACGAUCAGCCACACUGGGACUGAGACACGGCCCAGACUCCUACGGGAGGCAGCAGUGGGGAAUUUUGGACAAUGGGCGAAAGCCUGAUCCAGCAAUGCCGCGUGUGUGAAGAAGGCCUUCGGGUUGUAAAGCACUUUUGUCCGGAAAGAAAUGGCUCUGGUUAAUACCUGGGGUCGAUGACGGUACCGGAAGAAUAAGGACCGGCUAACUACGUGCCAGCAGCCGCGGUAAU